GCUCAUAUCACGUUGAAACACCAGUUGCUAUUUGAUUACCGAAGUUAAGCAACGUCAAUCCAGGUCAGUAUCUACAUGGGUGACCAUUUGGGAAUACCAGGUGCUGUAA